rnacentral:rRNA from 1 species
UGGGGAAUUUUCCGCAAUGGGCGAAAGCCUGACGGAGCAAUGCCGCGUGGAGGUGGAAGGCCUACGGGUCGUCAACUUCUUUUCUCGGAGAAGAAACAAUGACGGUAUCUGAGGAAUAAGCAUCGGCUAACUCUGUGCNG